UGGGGACCAAUGUAGGAACUGGUGUGUUGGGAAAUAGCUCUUUUGCUUCCUCUAAAACAAAGACAGAGUGGAUGCCUGCCCAUUGCAUCUUUGCACCAGUGAGAGCUCCAGGGUCUCUUCUCCUCCCUCACCUAGCAGGGUGGGCAGGAAGUGCACCAGGAUUCUGACACCCAGGGCUGCCUUCUCCAAGUAGAGGACAACCAACCAAGCGUAGAGGAUAUGGUGUGUCUGGCACACGGGAGGCACAAAUGCUGAGAAAGCUCCACUCUCGAGGCCAAGGCACCUGCUGCCUAAGGCUGACGCUGAUGAGAUGCAAGAAAGUUCUCCAGCAACGAGCAGUAAGAGCAGUGCAUGCUGGGGAGUAGUCAAGGGGCCACCAAGAGGAAAUGUGACUUCACUUCAUUGCCAGUGGACAGAACAUUCUACCUGUGUUACAUGAGGAGAACUGGAGUACAUGUUAGCAGCUGGUUUGACACUUUAAUUUCAAGGUGGAAGGAAACUGAUCACAAAUCUCUGAUUCCAAUCUCAAACCAGUAGGUGCUUAAUAUUUCUUAGUUUGAUUAAUGCACACUUGAACUGCAUGGAUUCUAUUAAAAAUUUAGGGUCCCAAGGCUGGGGAUUUAGCUCAGCGGCAUAAGUGCCGGAUUGCAAGCACAAGGUCAAUCCAUUGUCAUCCAAUCUCCUUCAUCUUUUUCAAGGUACUAUAUGGGGGUUUGUCAAAAUUCCAAACAACUAUGCAACUUCUUUUUAACACAUAUCAAGGAGGAGGUCCCCUGUUGGGGUCCAAAAAUGCCAGAGCCUUUCCAGAAUAGUGCAGCUUCAAGUCUUGGGAUUAGCAGGGCAGGCUUGAGUCCCAGGCCUGGUGGUCGUGCUGGCUCCUAGAAGAGCUGCCAUUUGUGGAACAGCUCUGAAUUGC
rnacentral:lncRNA from 1 species